rnacentral:rRNA from 1 species
GAUGAACGCUAGCUACAGGCUUAACACAUGCAAGUCGAGGGGAAACGGCGUUAAGUGCUUGCACUUUUUGGACGUCGACCGGCGCACGGGUGAGUAACGCGUAUCCAACCUUCCCAUGACUAAGGGAUAACCUGCCGAAAGGCAGACUAAUACCUUAUGGUCUUCACUGACGGCAUCAGAUGUGAAGUAAAGAUUUAUCGGUUAUGGAUGGGGAUGCGUCUGAUUAGCUUGUUGGCGGGGUAACGGCCCACCAAGGCAACGAUCAGUAGGGGUUCUGAGAGGAAGGUCCCCCACAUUGGAACUGAGACACGGUCCAAACUCCUACGGGAGGCAGCAGUGAGGAAUAUUGGUCAAUGGGCGAGAGCCUGAACCAGCCAAGUAGCGUGCAGGAUGACGGCCCUAUGGGUUGUAAACUGCUUUUGUAUGGGGAUAAAGUCAAUCACGUGUGAUUGUUUGCAGGUACCAUACGAAUAAGGACCGGCUAAUUCCGUGCCAGCAGCCGCGGUAAUACGGAAGGUCCGGGCGUUAUCCGGAUUUAUUGGGUUUAAAGGGAGCGUAGGCUGGAGAUUAAGUGUGUUGUGAAAUGUAGACGCUCAACGUCUGACUUGCAGCGCAUACUGGUUUCCUUGAGUACGCACAACGUUGGCGGAAUUCGUCGUGUAGCGGUGAAAUGCUUAGAUAUGACGAAGAACUCCGAUUGCGAAGGCAGCUGACGGGAGCGCAACUGACGCUGAAGCUCGAAGGUGCGGGUAUCGAACAGG